ensembl:lncRNA
GGCAUGUCAAGGCCACGCAGGCAAGAGAACACAAACAUUCAGCCCAGAUAUGGAGAGGCAGCUGGGUAUUUACAUUACCCAACAGAGCAAAGUCUAGUUUCACUUGUUCCUGGGGUUGUGUGUAGAAGCCUCGCAUCCGGCACUUCACAACAGAGUCCUAGCGUGAAAUGGCUGUGCCUGACGCCUCAGCUUAGCGGGCGCUGUGCAGAAGCUCUGUACAUGACAUUGCAACCCAACAGGGUGGCAGCAGGCUGGAUGCCGAUAAUGCUGCACAUGACCAAGAUGGCGGCAGCAGGCCAAGUGCAGAAGCGUCGCGCCCAGCACUUGGAUCCGGACCGAGUGCUCUGAGCAGCACAACCAUGCCCCACCCGUGAGAAAUCCUGGCCCCUGCCUGCUGACAAAGCCCUAUAAAGCAGCCCUGCCCAUAGACGUGUGCUCUACAGCUCAAGCUCGC